UUUUUGACCAAGCUACUAAGGGCGGACGGGGGAUGCCUUGGCACCGGAAGGCGAUGAAGGACGUGGAAAGCUGCGAUAAGCCACGGGGAGCUGCUAACAAGCGUUGAUCCGUGGGAUUCCGAAUGGGGAAACCCGGCUGGGUAAAACCCAGUCAUCGCGGGCUGAAUUCAUAGGCCUGCGAAGCGAACGCGGGGAAUUGAAACAUCUUAGUACCCGCAGGAAAGGAAAGUAAAAACGAUUCCCCAAGUAGCGGCGAGCGAACGGGGAAGAGCCCAAACCGUACAUGUGUAAGCCUGCAAGCGUUGCAUGGACGGGGUUGUGGGACCUGUAUGGAUGGAUUGCAGUCCAUCCGAGGAGUUACAAAGGUCAUGCAUAGCCGAACGGCAUGGAAAGGCCGGCCACAGACGGUGAGAGCCCGGUAGGUAAAAUGCAUGGCCCUCCUUACAGGCACCCGAGUACCACGGGGCACGAGAAACCCUGUGGGAAUCUGGGAGGACCAUCUUCCAAGGCUAAAUACUAUCCGGUGACCGAUAGUGAACCAGUACCGUGAGGGAAAGGUGAAAAGAACGGGGGGACCCGAGUGAAAUAGAACCUGAAACCGUCCGCCUACAAGCAGUGGAAGCACGAUGUCGCAAGACCGUGUGACCGCGUGCCUUUUGCAUAAUGAGUCAGCGAGUUACCCUAUGCAGCGAGGUUAAGCCGUGAGGUGGAGCCGCAGCGAAAGCGAGUCUGAAAUGGGCGAAUUAGUUGCAUGGGGUAGACCCGAAGCCGGGUGAUCUAUCCAUGGCCAGGGUGAAGCGAAGGUAACACUUCGUGGAGGCCCGAACCAUUGUUGGUUGAAAACAGCUUGGAUGAGCUGUGGAUAGGAGUGAAAGGCUAAUCAAACUCGGUGAUAGCUGGUUUUCUUCGAAAUAUAUUUAGGUAUAGCCUCGCGUGAUGACUGACGGAGGUAGAGCACUGACUGGGCUAGGGGCCUUACCAGGUUACCAACCCCAAUCAAACUCCGAAUGCCGUCAAGAUCUAGCGCGGGAGUCAGACUACGGGAGAUAAGUUUCGUGGUCAAAAGGGAAAGAGCCCAGACCGCCGGCUAAGGUCCCUAAGUGCAUGCUAAGUGGGAAAGGAUGUAGAACUGCCCAGACAACCAGGAGGUUGGCUUAGAAGCAGCAACCCUUCAAAGAAAGCGUAAUAGCUCACUGGUCGAGUGGGUCUGCGCCGAAAAUUUAGCGGGGCUAAGCAUGCCACCGAAGCCGCGGACUUCGUCGCAAGAUGGAGUGGUAGAAGAACAUUGCAGUAACCGUUGAAGGUAUACCGUGAGGAGUGCUGGAGGAACUGCAAGAGCUUAUGCUGACACGAGUAACGAAAAUGCGGGUGAGAAACCCGCACGCCGAAAGCCUAAGGUUUCCUGUAGUCAAGGUAAUCUGCUCAGGGUUAGUCGGCCCCUAAGGCGAGGCCGAGAGGCGUAGUCGAUGGGAAACGGGUUAAUAUUCCCGUACCGUUUCAGAGGCGUCUGAGCGAAGGGGGGACGCAGAAGGGUAGACCAUCCGGGUGUUGGACGUCCCGGUUUAAGCGUGUAGGUGGAGGAUCCAGGCAAAUCCGGAUCCUUGUACAACACUGAGACGUGAUGACGAAGUCGCGCAAGCGACGCAAAGUGGUUGAUCCCAUACUGCCAGGAAAAGCCUCGUAGCGAGCAACUGAAACGACCGUACCGUAAACCGACACAGGUAGGCAGGGAGAGAAUCCUAAGGCGCUUGAGAGAACUCUGGUUAAGGAACUCGGCAAAUUAACACCGUAACUUCGGGAGAAGGUGUGCCAUCAUUACGUGAAGCGAUUCGCUCGUGGAGCGGAAGGUGGUUGCAGAGAAAUGGGGGGAGCGACUGUUUACUAAAAACACAGGACUCUGCGAAGUCGAAAGACGCAGUAUAGGGUCUGACGCCUGCCCGGUGCCGGAAGGUUAAGGGGAAUUGUUAGGGGCAACCCGAGGCAAUGAACCGAAGCCCCGGUAAACGGCGGCCGUAACUAUAACGGUCCUAAGGUAGCGAAAUUCCUUGUCGGGUAAGUUCCGACCU
rnacentral:rRNA from 1 species